rnacentral:lncRNA from 1 species
CUCAACUGAUUUACAAGCUGCUUAUUAUCAGGGAUUAUAUCUAAUUUAUUUCUCUGUGGUUCAAUCUCAUGAGAACAUUAUUAGGUACACAGAACAUUCGAUUAAAACAUCUAGUAUUUUGCACCAAUAUGCAUGAUUCUUGUUGAUAUAAAAUAGUUAAAAUGAACUUCAUGGAGCACCGUCAUGACUUAUUAUUACCAGCGGGAAGCAAGCCAGGGUUAACACCCUCCCUGUCUAGUGAAUACAGCACACUGAUGGGUCUUGACUCUUUAUCUAACUUGCCAGAGUGAACAGGCAACCUACAACAUGGGAGAAAAUUUUUGCAACCUACUCAUCUGACAAAGGGCUAAUAUCCAGAAUCUACAAUGAACUCAAACAAAUUUACAAGAAAAAAACAAACAACCCCAUCAAAAAGUGGGCGAAGGACAUGAACAGACACUUCUCAAAAGAAGACAUUUAUGCAGCCAAAAAACACAUGAAGAAAUGCUCAUCAUCACUGGCCAUCAGAGAAAUGCAAAUCAAAACCACUAUGAGAUAUCAUCUCACACCAGUUAGAAUGGCAAUCAUUAAAAAGUCAGGAAACAACAGGUGCUGGAGAGGAUGCGGAGAAAUAGGAACACUUUUACACUGUUGGUGGGACUGUAAACUAGUUCAACCAUUGUGGAAGUCAGUGUGGCGAUUCCUCAGGGAUCUAGAACUAGAAAUACCAUUUGACCCAGCCAUCCCAUUACUGGGUAUAUACCCAAAUGAGUAUAAAUCAUGCUGCUAUGAAGACACAUGCACACGUAUGUUUAUUGCGGCACUAUUCACAAUAGCAAAGACUUGGAACCAACCCAAAUGUCCAACAAUGAUAGACUGGAUUAAGAAAAUGUGGCACAUAUACACCAUGGAAUACUAUGCAGCCAUAAAAAAUGAUGAGUUCAUAUCCUUUGUAGGGACAUGGAUGAAAUUGGAAACCAUCAUUCUCAGUAAACUAUCGCAAGAACAAAAAACCAAACACCGCAUAUUCUCACUCAUAGGUGGGAAUUGAACAAUGAGAUCACAUGGACACAGGAAGGGGAAUAUCACACUCUGGGGACUGUGGUGGGGUCGGGGGAGGGGGGAGGGAUAGCAUUGGGAGAUAUACCUAAUGCUAGAUGACACAUUAGUGGGUGCAGCGCACCAGCAUGGCACAUGUAUACAUAUGUAACUAACCUGCACAAUGUGCACAUGUACCCUAAAACUUAGAGUAUAAUAAAAAAAAAAAAAAAAAAUUAUUAUGUUUUAAUUUUUCAUGGCUGUGUCCCUCUGCCCCAGUAGAAUGUAUAUCUUAUCACUCUGUGCGGUCCUCGGCACAAAGUGUCAGUUGCUUACCAUAGCUAAACUGGAUGGGGAAAUAUUACUAUGACCAGGAGAGGGACACAGAAGAACACAGACUUAUCUUUCUCAAAAUAGAGAAAGAGAAAAAAAAAAGAAUCAUGUUAAUCGCUUGAAGGACUUACACAAAAUUUGGCAUGCUUAAUUUAACAAUAUCAAUAAACAUGAAAACAACAGUUACAUCUAUGUGUAUGGUAUGUGUCAGAUACUGUUUAAAGAUGCCUUCACACUGCUUGGACACUAAGAAGCAAACCCAUCUUAACAUGAUUUCACUCUUUCAUAGCCUUUGUUAGCAUAACUUUCCUACUUCAAAAGACUCUUGCAGGAAGAUAAAGGUUCCAAAGGACUAUUUUUUAUUACAGGAUUUCUCAAGACCCAUUACCUUUUCAAUCGAAAUCAUCAACAAAUUACUGCCUAGGAUUCAUGACUCACUCUCUCUUCAAAAUAUUCUCCUUACUGUUUUCACCAAUCCUAAACUAUCAUUAUUCUCAGCCAGUCCUCAUAAAGAUCCUCACUGAAAAAACCUCCUUUCACCUAGACUGCAAAAUUUCAGUAAGUCAGACUUUGUCCUUUCCACUUUAAGAUGCUAUCAGACUCUGCCAAUGUGCUGUUCUCCUGAGUAAGUCAUAGUCUCAGCUUUGCUUCAUUAAAAGUUUAUAAACAGCUUUUGCUGUUCUGGGGAGCUUUCAGCAAGCACUUCACCUAUAAAUAACUUAACUCUCACAGCAACCCCAUGAGGUUUAAUGUAUUAUUAUUUACAUUUUACAGAAGCGACCUAAGCCCAAAGUUACACAGUAAGUAGGUGGGAGAGCUGAAAUUUGAAUCCAGGCUGUCUAGCCCCAUGGCCAGUAUAUCUGUAUUAAAUUCCUGGGAGUCAUUUAAAAACUACUAUAAUUGACUUCAUUUGGAAGAAAUUUCAAAACAUUACAAUAAAUAAAAACAUUUCAAAAAAACUACAAGUAAAAAUGCAAUAUUGUAUUAUUUACAAUACAUAAAUCACUUAUUUCUCUGUUCACUUGUUCUGUGUUCUUUCUCCAUCUAAAGGAGCAAUGAUAAACAUACUGGCAUUUACAAUGGUCAUGAUGCAGGAAGAGUGUCUUAAUUCCUAAAAACUUUCUGGCCUUUGAAAAAUAACCACUGCAUUUAUAACCCCCGAAUGGCCACAGUAGGUAUACAUGAAUUUCAACUUGAAUUUAUACUUCUAGGGAAAGAUAAUAAUCAGUUACUAAUUUGUUAACAAUACUUCUGGAGUAAAAGUCCAUGGAUAAUCAAAUGGGGGUGAAAGAAAGGAAUUCUCUAAGUGGGUUUUGUUGGGAAUUGUCAAAGGUAGGAAGAAAUAGGAAUAUGGAUUCUGGAGAGAAAAUGUGUAAGGCUAGAUUCCUGUCCUGAUGACUGUUAUACUUGAUUUGAAUAAAAAUGUUUAUCCUAGUGCAAUAAAGAAAACUUGAAUGGCUUACUAAUGUUAUAUGUGAUGGAUUCAAGGCCCUAUAUUAUGCCAACAACCUAGAAGAAUGUGGCAAAACUGACAAAAAUUUGCAUACAAAAAUAUAAACUCUGGCUUUUAGAUCUGAAAAAUAAAUUAUGUUGAAUGCUUUCUAACAACUAAAGCUGAUUUACAGUGAAUUAGUCAGCCUCAAAAUACAGUGAGUCCUCCAAUACAAAUAUUUAAAUAGAACAUAGGUGGACCUCUUUCUGGAAUAUUGUAUGACAAUCAUAUAUAAUAACAUCUAAAGGUCUUUCUAAUUCCUAAAUCCAUGUUAUAGAUGUACCAAUGUAUUUUGGUAGAUCUAAGCCAUGCAUUCAAACUUCAGUAAUGUAGCAUUUAGUCAUUUCUCAAUUUACAUAUCUUACCAGUAAAUAUUUUUUGGGUGCUGCGUACAUCAUUGUAACUUUAAGUGUACAUGUCUUGCAUUUAAAAAUAUUCCUAAGUAUUUUAUUAUUUUGAUACUAUUUUAUUUUUGAGAAAGGAUCUCGCUCUGUUACCCAGGCUAGAGUGCAGUGGUGCAAUCUCAGCUUACUGUAGUGUCUGCCUCCUGGGCUCAAGUGAU